GUGAAUCCAGAGGCAGCUGGAGUGGAAGAAUGCCUUCUUAACACACUGCCCCUGCAAUCUCUACUAAAUAUUGUUGGUAGAGUCAAACCUCUUUUCUAGAUCUGACCUACAAAUCUGGAGGAUGUGAAGAUGUGCAGAGGCCUGUGGCAGUGACUGAGUCUUGCUCUGUUGCCCAGGCAGGAGUGCAGUGGCACUAUCUUGGCUCAAUGCAAUCUCCACCUGCAACCUCCACCUGAUCUUACUACUUAGUGGUUGAUCCUGUGUUUGACAAGUUGUGUAUCAGCCAAUGAAUGGACUAAUGUGUUCGAGUUACUUGAGCCAGUAAGGCGUCCAGCCUCUACCAACAGGAGGGCAAGUAGCUGAUGAAGUGCAUUCAAAGUUUGAGCCAUUUGUAAGUCUUCUCUAUCAG
rnacentral:lncRNA from 13 species